rnacentral:rRNA from 1 species
GCAAGUCGAACGGUGAUAGUAAUAUCAUAGUGGCGCACGGGUGCGUAACACGUAUGCAACCUACCUUAUACUUAGGGAUAGCCUUUGGAAACGGAGAUUAAUACCUGAUGGUACAGUUGACUUUGGCAUCGAGUUACUGUUAAAGAUUUAUUGGUAUAAGGUGGGCAUGCGUCCAAUUAGUUAGUUGGUGAGGUAAUGGCUCACCAAGACGAUGAUUGGUAGGGGAACUGAGAGGUUAAUCCCCCACACUGGCACUGAGAUACGGGCCAGACUCCUACGGGAGGCAGCAGUAGGGAAUAUUGGGCAAUGGAGGCAACUCUGACCCAGCCAUGCCGCGUGCAGGAUGAAGGCGUUAUGCGUUGUAAACUGCUUUUAUAUAGGAAGAAAUAGACCUUGCGAGGUAAGUUGACGGUACUAUAUGAAUAAGCACCGGCUAACUCCGUGCCAGCAGCCGCGGUAAUACGGAGGGUGCAAGCGUUGUCCGGAUUUAUUGGGUUUAAAGGGUGCGUAGGCGGUUUAUUAAGUCAGUGGUGAAAGACGGUCGCUCA